CAGGCAUCCCCAAACUCAGCCCUCCAGAUGUUUUGGGACUAGGGAUGAUGGGAGUUGUAGUUCCAAAACACCUGGAGGGCUGAGUUUGGGGGUACCUG